GAUGUUUCCUCUAACCAAUCCAGACAGCGUUCUCUCCGGACUUUCCGACGAUUGGAUGGGUGUCACCGUCGUCCAAUGAUCCUGCAGUCACCAAGUUGUCGUGAGCUGUGGUUCAGCGCAGCCGUUUUCUUCCUUUUGCUCGUGUCUUUGGAAUAAAACGUCCAAAAGCAGGAUGUAUGGAAUCUCGCUAUAGCAGUUCCAAAUUUACAUCGAUGACAUUCAAGGAUAAUAGAAGUCAAGUUCUGGCAUCUGACUUGGGGGUGAUCUCCAUCCAGGAGAUCAAGAAGCUUGUUGAUGUCUCCAAUUAUUAAUAUUGACACAAUUAAAUGUUUUACAUGUCAUUCAACCAAACAAAGGCUACGCAUCACAAAUAAAAAUAAUGUGUUCUU